AAGAUGCUCAUAUAAAUUUUCGCAGAAUUUUUUAUUUUUUAAAUUAAAAUUCGUAACUUCAAACAAAAGCUUGUCGCACAACUUUUCAACAACCCGUUACGUGGCGUUUUCGUCAGCCUAAUCAAUACUAGCUCACGAUACACUCCAACGCCUUACAGGCUCUAUUAACAGCAUCUUCUCCACCUGCAUUCAUGUCAACAUACACACUAAUCAAGCUCUGUUCGUUUUUAACUGGGACACCGUAUUUUGGCGUUGCAAGAGCAAACCGUAACAAAUAUCACAGUCAUAACUGUACCUAAAAUUG
rnacentral:lncRNA from 1 species